AGAAGUUAAAAUCGUAACAAGGUUUCCGUAGGUGAACCUGCGGAAGGAUCAUUAACGAUUGCUAAACAAGACAAAAAACGUAUAUGGUUGUGCAUUUUUCUGAACUGCAUUUAAGGCUAAAACUCCUGACGAGUUCAGGAAGGAUCAUGCCCUCUCUUUCGCGAGAUCGCGAACAGAGAAAGUGGCCAUCGUGGUCGUUGUGUGUGUGCGUCUGUGCACACUGCGAACGAUGUAAAACAAACAACCGAUGGCCUCUCAUACAGUAUAAUAUCUCUCGCCAUGGCAUACAGGCCUGGCAUCUGGUACGAGUCUCUCGCAGUCUCAAAACCAACCUUACAACUCUGAGCGGUGGAUCACUUGGCUUGUGGAUGCUAUGAAGACCAUAGCUAAGUGUGAGAAUGGCAGCGAGCCGUCGCUAUAUGCGCUGUCCUCUUCUUAUCACAUGUCGAAUGCACAUUGCGCCCCACCCAGCGGUCGGCUAACCUCCUGCAGACAAAAGCCUGGGAGUUGGCACCAAAGGCGAGUGUGUGGCCCUCGAGCAUACGGCGGGGGAGCCAGGAGCACAUGAGCGUGCGGACCAACUACUCGUUAGUAGUCAGGCUGACCCAAUGGUGGGGCACUCCUAGUCGAGUGUGGUGGAUCGGACUCUUAUCUCUUUUUGCGAUUUGCGCGAUGGAGUUUGAGUUUCUUUGUUGCUGGUGGCAUUUGGGUCGACAUCAGUCGUGCCCGAAAAACAACUGCCUUGGCUCGUGCCUCUGUGCGUUCGUUUUUACCUCAUGCAGGUGCGUACAUUGAAGGCCAAAGCUGGCGAUCACUCUUGCGGCCAGGGCACUACUUAUUUUAGCCUGGUUAAUGGCUGUAGUGCGCACAGGUCCAAAAAGCGAAUGGUAAGCCACGAGAGUCGGGUCUCAAGUUGGUCUGUCUCGCUCACGCACAGUGAGUGGUUUGGUAAUUCGACGAUGUCCUACUGCAUAUAUAUAUAUAUGCAUUUCAUAAACGCUUCUCUAAGAAAAGGUUCGUCUCUCGUACUAUUCGAGAAUGAAACGUUCCUCAACUCUUUUUUUGUUCACACAUGCUGACAGACGAAUAAACGCCUGACGAGAUCAGGACGGAUUUUCUAACAGUGUGAAAAGAGUAACAGAUUGUCCUGCAGUGUCGAUCCAUUCCAAGUUGUAGCUGUGUGUGAAGCGUUGCUAUAUGAAAGAGACUCUCGGCUGCUCGUGUGGUUAUCUGUAUAACAGCCACCACCUCGACUUAGGAGAGGUUACCCGCUGAACUUAAGCAUAUCAGUAAGCGGAGGAAAAGAAACCAAUCAGGGAUUCCCCUAGUAGGGGCGACCGAAAAGGGAUGAGCCCAGCGCAGAACCUCCCGGGCCACCCGGCCUGCGGCGGAAUGUUGCGUUAAGGGAAAGGUCGUAGUCAAACCCCACAGCCACGCGAGCUCUAAGUAAGUCACGAAUUGGCUAUCCCAACUAACGGCGGGAAAAUCUCCACGGAGGGUGUAAGACCCGUGUGGGCGCGUGUAAAUGCUGUGUGGGCUCGGCCUCUUUUCCCUGAGAGUCGCGUUGCUUGAGCAUGCAGCGCUAAGCAGGUCGUAAACUCGAUCUAAGGCUAAAUAUUUCCACAAGACCGAUAGCGAACAAGUACCGUGAGGGAAAGUGAAAAGCACUCUGAAGAGAGA
rnacentral:rRNA from 1 species